UCGACCUUAGACGACCGCCAAGAGUGGCCAUUCUCGAAAAGGCACUGUAGAAUAAGAUGUCGGUCGAACUUUCGUUGUCGACGAGAAUGCGACGGACGUCAUAAUUUGCUAUGUUCAAGGAAACUACGACCGCAUCGUUAUGAGGGAAUUGGACUCCCUGGACGUCUUCUUCAGUGAAGGCUAUGGGCUCUUCAACUUUUUGCCGCUUGAGGGGUGCAGCUGAUGUGCUGAUUGCCUCCUGCCGGGAUUUCCCCGAGAUGACGUUGAUGGAAUCCGGCGAAAACUGGUCAUUCGGCCACCCUUUACCAGCAACCAUAGCCGGAGGUAGUUGUGCAGAAACCUCGCGGGAGGGCAUCGGACGGGGAAAAGAGGAUUGGAUGCCGAAAAAGAUGGCCGGAAGCGGGUCCGUUGAGCGCUCCUUCAAGAACAAGGGUGCUGCGA
rnacentral:lncRNA from 1 species